UAUCCCCUGUGACCUGCAUGUAUACAUCCAGAUGGCCUGAAGCAACUGAAAAUCCACAAAACAAGUGAAAAUAGCUUUAACUGAUGACAUUCCACCAUUGUGAUUUGUUCCUGCCCUAACUGAAAAGAUAUAUUCUCCCCCACCCUUAAGAAGGUACUUUGUAAUAUUCUUCCCCUGCCCUUAAGAAGGUACUUUGUAAUAUUCUCCCCCCACCCUUAAGAAGGUACUUUGUACACCUAUCCCAAAUCUAUAAGAACUAAUGAUAAUCCUACCACCCUUUACUGCCUCCUUUUUUGGACUCAGCCCACCUGCACCCAGGUGAAAUAAACAGCCUUGUGGCUCACACAAAGCCUGUUUGGUGGUCUCUUCACACAGACAUGUGAGACAUUUGGUGCUGAAGACCGGGUCAGCAGGAUUCCUUUGGGAGACCAGUCCCCUGUCCUCACCCUCACUCCAUGAAGAGAUCCACCUAUGACCUCGGGUCCUCAGACCAACCAGCCCAAGGAACAUCUCACCAAUUUUAAAUCUGGACCCCACUGGAAAUCAGACAGUCCAGCUCGCCUGGUAGCCACUCCCAGAGCCCCUGGAACACUGGCCCAAGGCUCUCUGACUCCUUUGCAGAUCUUCCUGGCUUAGCAGCUGAAGACUGACACUGCCUGAUUGCCUCAGAAACCUCCUGGACCAUCAUGGAUGCUUUGGGUAACUCUCACAGUGGAGGACAGGAAUGUCAGGCCUCUGAGCCCAAGAUAAGCCAUCAUAUCCCCUGUGACCUGCAUGUAUACAUCCAGAUGGCCUGAAGCAACUGAAGAUCCACAAAAGAAGUGAAAAUAGCCUUAACUGAUGACAUUCCACCAUUUUGAUUUGUUCCUGCCCUACCCUAACUGAAAAGAUAUAUUCUCCCCUGCCCUUAAGAAGGUACUUUGUAAUAUUCUUCCCCACCCUUAAGAAGGUACUUUGUAAUAUUCUCCCCCCCGCCCUUAAGAAGGUACUUUGUACACCUAUCCCAAACCUAUAAGAACUAAUGAUAAUCCCACCACCCUUUACUGACUCCUUUUUUGGACUCAGUCCACCUGCACCCAGGUGAAAUAAACAGCCUUGUUGCUC